rnacentral:lncRNA from 1 species
UUCCUCCGCAGACCCAGGCCCUCCGGAAGGGGUGAGUGGGGAGGGGCUUUCCUGAGCCUGGAGCUGGGCUUUGGGGCAGCCUGCGACCCUCCCCGCUUGUGUCCCUUCUCCUGUGAUCUCUGUGUUUUCCCUUUUCUUUCUGGGGCCAGGAAGUCAGGGUCAACUCCCAGGCCUCAGAUGCAGGGGCCCAGAACACCUGCUCUCACCUGAGCCCCAGGUGAAGGGGCCCGGGAACACCUGCUCUCACCUGAGCCCCAGGUGAAGGGGCCCGGGAACACCUGCUCUCACCUGAACCCCAGGUGAAGGGGCCCGGAACACCUGCUCUCACCUGAGCCCCAGGUGAAGGGGCCCGGAACACCUGCUCUCACCUGAGCCCCAGGUGAAGGGGCCCGGGAACACCUGCUCUCACCUGAGCCCCAGGUGAAGGGGCCCGGGAACACCUGCUCUCACCUGAACCCCAGGUGAAGGGGCCCAGAACACCUGCUCUCACCUGAGCCCCAGGUGAAGGGGCCCGGAACACCUGCUCUCACCUGAGCCCCAGGUGAAGGGGCCCGGGAACACCUGCUCUCACCUGAGCCCCUGGUGAAGGGGCCCGGAACACUUGCUCUCACCUGAGCCCCAGGUGAAGGGGCCCGGAACACCUCCUCUCACCUGAGCCCCAGGUGAAGGGGCCCGGAACACCUCCUGUCACCUGAGCCCCAGGUGAAGGGGCCCGGGAACACCUCUCACCUGAACCCGGGGGUCCCAUCCCAGGAAGAAGGGCCAUCUCAGGACAUGAGUCCUCAGGGGCCCUGCACAUUCAAUCUGAAGGUGACCCUGGCCUGGCUGAAGCUGGAAGAGCUGUGGGGACUCAGCCUGUAAACAGAGCGUAAGGUUCACAUGCUGGUUGCUUAAUCCGUUUCUGGAGGAAGAGUAUGACACCCACUUGUGAUGGGGUCCUUGUGCGGUGGGGACCGGGGCCGGCGGGCUCCAGGCCAGCACACCUAACCCAUGGAUGUGGAACCUACGGCCGAGAAGGAAUGUUGCAUGAGUCGGAUCCCAGUCCAUUGUCAGUGGAGGGUGAGGGUGACCCCAUCUGCUAUUUUUGUGCUCAUCCUCAUACAACCAUUUGGGGAUGUGCCUAUUAGGGCUCCGUAAGAACUCAGAUGCCUGGGAAGCCCAGCCCCUCAGGUGCCCCCACACACAGCCUUCCCUUGACGCCUACAUUUCUAGGCACAUGUGAGGCAUCUUUCCUGGAGCCCCGAGCCAGCCCUGUCCCUCCCCAGUGCAGCAUGGCACUCAGGAGAUACAGGCUGGACAUGGGGCAGUCGUUCUGGGGAGGCCUGGCCUAGCAGCCACCCACCUGAGCCCUCCCGGCCAGGCUUCGUGCUGGGGUGGGCCAUGUGCCAGGACAGGAGGGUCCCGGCGGAAAGCCAGCCCCGGACUCAUCGUGACAUUGAGAUCCCACUGGAGGGUAGGGGUGGUAAUAAACUUCUCCAAACGAUCGUUGUCAUUUU